CACUUUUUGUGUGUAUGUGGGUUAGCUGUUGUUUACAGGGAAUUUGACCAUAGAACUCAAACCUAGUACUAUGGGAUUGGUAGGUGACAAACUCAUGGAUGGUUUAAUUGUGUUCAGUAUCACUCAGGGUACCACUGAUAAAACACAAACAGGUGAGUUUUUUUUUUUAAGUGAGAAAUAGGAAACAAAAUAUAAGGGUAUUGAACUAUGUUGGAGUGUGUUUUAUCUUAAAAAGAAUAUUUUGAAGAAACAUGAAAAGCAUUUUAUAUUGAACAAAUUUUAUGUUUUAAAAAGCAUUUUCCCAGACAAAUUUCUUCACUUCCUUUAAAGAAUUAACUCAUUCUGAACUACAUCAAAAGCCAGUGUGUUUAGAUUGAUUAAGGGUGUUUAAAGUAAACCAGGUAUAGAUAGGUCUUGCCUUGAGAGGAGAUCUGUUAUAAAAUGUUACAUCCUGAAAUGAUACAGUUGGCAAAUUUUGGUUUAUUAUGAAAGUUGAAAGCAAACCGUGAUGGAUUUUGUGUCAAAAGUAACUGUUACCAAUGAAAAUUGUACUUGAGACUCUAUUAAUAUAUUUUUCUUGGUGUUUGUUGCAUCUGUGAGUUUGAACUGUUUUUACUAUUCUCAAUGGAACUAGCUGUUUGCUUUUUUUCUGUUUGUGUGGUUCAGCCACUCCUUAAGAGUGUUCAGCCAACUUCCCAGUCUUCUCUUUUAAACCUCGGCUGAGAACGCUCCCUUCCAGCAUUGUCUUCUCCAGAUGGCUCUGCUCCUUGCUUCUGUGUUUACCCAGCGCUCAUCUGGGGCCUUGAUUCUCCCCAUUGGAUUGAAUUCACCUGUGGUGGGUCCCCCGCCCGCUGAGGAGAUGGAUGAGGAUGGGCCCCCUCUCAUGGGCUCAGGCAUAGACCUGACUAAGGUGCCAGCUAUUCAACAGAGAAGAACGGUGGCAUUUCUAAAGCAGUUUGUGGUGCACACUGUACAGUUCCUCAACCGCUUUUCUACAGUUUGUGAGGAGAAACUAACAGACCUUUCUCUUCGUAUCCAGCGGAUUGAAACAAUUCUCAAUAUUUUAGAUGCAAAGUUUUCAUCUAUCCCGGGCCUAGAUGAUGUCACAUUUGAAGUAUCUCCUGUAAAUGUCACUAGGAUCACAAAUGGAACACACUCUGAAGCCACUUCAGAGCAAUCACAGCAGAACAGUUUACAAGACUCUGGACCACAGGAAAGUGAAGUAACACCAGAAAAGAUCUUAACUGUAGCCAAGGAUCCAAGAUAUGCCAGAUAUCUCAAAAUGGUUCAAGUGGGUGUUCCAGUGAUGGCAAUAAGAAACAAAAUGAUAUCGGAAGGACUAGACCCAGAUCUUCUUGAGAGGCCAGAUGCUCCAGUGCCUGAUGGUGAAGGUGAAAAAAACACAGAAGAAAGUUCAGAUAAUGAAUCUUCUUUUAGUGACUAAGCUUAAUUUUCAUAACAAUUACAUAUACAUGUGUUAGUGUACCUUUACAUUCUAUAAGAGAGCCUGAACUGUAAUUAGUUAUAACGACAUCAAGUGGCUACAGAUCUGCCACCAAGCUUCCUGUGUUAAAAAAAAUAAAGCAUUUAUUAA